UGAUUACUCAUUUUGAGUGGUUUUUCGACGUAAACAGCCUUUCCUUCAACCUAACCUUUCUGAGAUGUUUGGUCCCUGCAAUAAAAAUAAUUUGACAUGUGAGAGCACUAUACUCAAAAAUAGUCAUCCAAACAAACUUUGUAUACCUUAUUGGAUUGGAAGAUGCACUAUAGAGACGCGGGGAAUUAUUCAAGAGCUAAUUACGUUUUUAAGCAGUGUAAUGACGACAUAUGACAAUUGACUGUUUAUUUAUAGUUUCACAAACUAAAGGAAGGUGCAAAUUAAAAACACGGGUAUAAACAACAAU